rnacentral:misc_RNA from 1 species
UCUGCCUUCAAUACUCAUGUCCUUCCUGGUAGGAAAAGGUUGAUUAAUCUCCUUAAGAUAUUCACCUUCAUGGUUCCAGGUUCAUCAACAGUAUCUAGCCUUUCAAUGGUUGGGCUUUCAGUGUUAUUUCACUGAUGCACCUCUCUGAUGAGGGUUCCUGGCAUAGCUAGACUACAUCUAAGGGAAAUUUUAUAGAUCCAUGAACUUCAAAGUGAUUUUCAUCAAGAUCUUGUGAUCAAACCUUGCAAGUACAGUUCUAACAAUACUAGAGAAACUUGGAAUUGAUGAUCUGUUGCAUUUUGAUGCUCCUCACACACAUAUGACUAUAAUUUAUCCUGCACAUGCACAUGGG